GGGACCGGCAGUCCCCGAGGGGGAAUAGCGCGCUUUGAGCGCCGCCACCCCGCGAGGCGCGCGGGGCCGGGGACGCCGGGCAGUGGCGCUGCCCGCGGGCCCAUAAAAGGAGCAGCUGCGCCGGCCGCUCAGACGCGGGGCUGCGGCCGGCGGCCGGGUGCGCGCCUGGGCUCCGGCGGUGACCGAGCGCUCGGCCCGCAGAUACUUGUUUCUGGACGACAUAUGUGAGGCCGCACCCCCGAGACCUGUGGCCUCCAUGCAGGACCUGAGGGGCUCAGCGGCAGAUUUUGAUGGGCUGGGCCGGGCGCUUGGCCAGUUUUCCUCUUACGUUUUCUGGAUCCCUGCCAAACCUGCGGCUGAGAGCUGACCUCCAGGGAGUCCCCGGAGCUGAGAGGCUGGGAGAACGAGGACCCAGGAAUCCUGCGAGGCCUCAGUUUCCCAGAAUUCACCUGUCCUCGGCCGUUUGGUUGUACAGUGAGGACUGCACACUUGGAUGUUGUUCACCUGUUUCCACACUCACGCGCAGGACAAGGCAGGACGUGGCGACACGUGGAGCGGCUGCAUUUGCUCGGUCUCUCUGCAUCCCUGUGGCACUUAAUCCAUCCCCUUCUCGCCUGGCCAACCGGGGACUGAACGAUGCCCUGCAGUGUCUCAGCAUUGGCCCUGGAAAUUGGACAGAGAAAUAGCCACGUUGUCUGUCGCUUUUCCGUAAGCAGAAGCAGGGGCUAGAAGCAGAGGCUAGCAUUCAUCACGCUCUGCGCUAGGGAAACUUCCUUAUCUCUGAGAAUUCUCCGAGCGGUGUUAUGAGCUGCUGAUGAAAAUGAGGACUGUCUUACUGUAGCAGCUUGUUUUUCUUCUAGGGAACCUGUAAGAAAUCCCGUUGUUUCCAAAUAAAGCACAGCUGAUAGUUUCCA